UUUUAUUUGAGUAGAAUGGCUCUUGAGAUUCAGAUCUUGUAUCGUACCUCAGUUGUGCUUGAGUUUUGUAGCUUAUAGCUCUAUGUGUUUUCUCAGGGAUGGUAUUAUGCACUUAGUGUGCUUGCGAUCAAAAUUCGAUACUUUUAUUGUAAUGCGUUGAUUUAGCUCGAAGUGCAAUCGCCUUAUGUGAGAUUUAUCUGUGGAUCGGGUGGCACGCUGCCAUAGGUAUGUUAUUUGGAUCGGGUUGUGCGCCGCAACAGUGUGAUAUCGAGUCUAGUUUUCUAUAUGCUAUUUUUUGUGUGUUUCGCUUCCUAUCUUCUAAGGAAAGUUUGUAUUAGUGCGAGGGUUAGGUAAUUCCUUCCAGAGUUCGAAUGCCUGUUUAUGUUGUGUUCGGAUUGGUGGCCUAUUGGCAUAGUGUGGCGUCGUAUGAGACUUUUGAUCGCAUUUGGAGUGGCUUAUUGCCCGAGCAGUUCACACUAGGCGAGACGAGAUUAUGGGGUUUAGGAUCAGUGCAAUUUGAUUAUAUGAAGUAUAUUGAGGAGCAAAGAUCAUUAUUUGGUUCAGAAUACGGUAGUGUUUCUUGGCAGAAGUAUAGACUCAUGAUUGUUUGACUCGGCAGUUGACUAUGAAUUUCGGCACAUUCGUCCAUCGUAGCGGUAUUGUAAGAGUUAGAGUAAGACUUGCGUGUGUCAUGAGGUGCAAUGAGAGCAUCUGAUUUGUUGAAUUUUGGCAAAGUUGAUUAGAAAAUAUGAUUGUGGUCCUGCGGAUUAUGAGUUACAAG
rnacentral:lncRNA from 1 species